GACGAACGCUGGCGGCGUGCUUAACACAUGCAAGUCGAGCGGUAAGGCCCUUUCGGGGGUACACGAGCGGCGAACGGGUGAGUAACACGUGGGUGACCUGCCUUUAGCUCUGGGAUAAGCCUGGGAAACUGGGCCUAAUACCGGAUAUGACUCCGCGGUGCAUGCUGUGGGGUGGAAAGCCUUGUGCGGCUGGAGAUGGGCCCGCGGCCUAUCAGCUUGUUGGUGGGGUGANGGCCUACCAAGGCGACGACGGGUAGCCGGCCUGAGAGGGCGACCGGCCACACUGGGACUGAGACACGGCCCAGACUCC
rnacentral:rRNA from 1 species